GCCCCUGUAGGCUAACGGAUAGACUUCAAGCUUGCGGAGCUUGAGACCGGGGUUCAAUUCCCCGCAGGGGCA
rnacentral:tRNA from 1 species